UGAUCGCCUGUAUCCUACCUCUGUGUGGGCAU
rnacentral:piRNA from 1 species